CCUACGGGUGGCUGCAGUCGAGAAUCAUUCACAAUGGGGGAAACCCUGAUGGUGCGACGCCGCGUGGGGGAAUGAAGGUCUUCGGAUUGUAAACCCCUGUCAUGUGGGAGCAAAUUAAAAAGAUAGUACCACAAGAGGAAGAGACGGCUAACUCUGUGCCAGCAGCCGCGGUAAUACAGAGGUCUCAAGCGUUGUUCGGAAUCACUGGGCGUAAAGCGUGCGGAGGCUGUUUCGUAAGUCGUGUGUGAAAGGCGAGGGCUCAACCCGCGGACGGCAGAUGAUACUGCGAGACUAGAGUAAGGGAGGGGGAAGCGGAAUUCUCGGUGUAGCAGUGAAAUGCGUAGAUAUCGAGAGGAACACUCAUGGCGAAGGCGGGUGCCUGGACAUUAACUGACGCUGAGGCACGAAGGCCAGGGGAGCGAAAGGGAUUAGAUACCCGAGUAGUC
rnacentral:rRNA from 1 species